GGAUCACAGAGUAUGACGUCGUUUCCAUACCGGCUGCAAGCUCUGCCGUAUCUCUGAAACCCAGCUGGGACCAUUUCGUUUGAAAGCUUGGUCAUGAAAGCCAAAGCAUAUAAAAGCCAGCAGUGAUUCAAAGUGGGAUAUGGCUGAAAAGCAGUCUGUGGUUUUCCUUCAUCAGUGAGCAGCAUUUUGUGAGCUGCAUCCCAUCCUUCAGCCUAUGUCUCAGGGUUGUAACAGAACAGAAGCAAUUCUGGCGUUCUCAGCAAGUCCUACCUUGGAGAUCUGAUAAGCCUUACCUUGUUGUAUCCUGUGCCUGGGAAUAAGGUGGAAGAGAGGGGAGAUUUUGAUAACACCUUUCCCCUUCUUGCAAAACCUAUUCUUUCCUUCAUCCCUUCUGGAAAACACCCACAAUUACAUCAAACAGAGGCAGCGGCGUCUUUGCAACCCGCACUUCCAAAGAAGGUCACCUGGUCAAAUCUCACAUUGAUCCCUUUUAGCCUCCACUCCAGGUUCUCAGCAAACUGACUCUUCACCCCAAGGUAUAUUCUUCCUUAGAAAGAGACUACACUGCACCUCCGUCACCAUGCAAACUCUCCUAGGACUCCUGUUUUUCUCUGUAUUUCUAACUAAAGCUUUCUCUUUGCAGUGUGAACAAUGCAACAUGACUGACUGCACUGGUAAGACUGUAAUUUGUCCUCCUGAAAAGGAUGUCUGUUAUUCUAUGGAUCUGGAAGC